rnacentral:ncRNA from 1 species
AGGUUUAUCCUUAAAAGGGAAUUGGGUGUAAAUCCUAAACUGUUCCCGCAGCUGUAAGCUCUGCAAACGAAUGUCAAUUCUUUAGCCACUGGAAACGGGAAGGCUGACAUUUUUGGAGUGAGUCAGAAGACCUGCCAGAAAAACAU